GACGAACGCUGGCGGCGUGCCUAAUACAUGCAAGUCGAACGCUUCUUUUCCCACCGGAGCUUGCUCCACCGGGAAAAGAGGAGUGGCGAACGGGUGAGUAACACGUGGGUAACCUGCCCAUCAGAAGGGGAUAACACUUGGAAACAGGUGCUAAUACCGUAUAACAAUCGAAACCGCAUGGUUUCGUUUUGAAAGGCGCUUUACGGUUCCGCUGAUGGGUGGACCCGCGGUGCAUUAGCUAGUUGGUGAGGUAACGGCUCACCAAGGCCACGAUGCAUAGCCGACCUGAGAGGGUGAUCGGCCACAUUGGGACUGAGACACGGCCCAAACUCCUACGGGAGGCAGCAGUAGGGAAUCUUCGGCAAUGGACGAAAGUCUGACCGAGCAACGCCGCGUGAGUGAAGAAGGUUUUCGGAUCGUAAAACUCUGUUGUUAGAGAAGAACAAGGGUGAGAGUAACUGUUCACCCCUUGACGGUAUCUAACCAGAAAGCCACGGCUAACUACGUGCCAGCCGCCGCUGUAA
rnacentral:rRNA from 1 species